GCCCGGGGCCGCCAUGCCUAUACAUGCAGUCGAGCGGACUUGCUGGAGCUUGCUCCAGCAGGUUAGCGGCGGACGGGUGAGUAACACGUGGGCAACCUGCCUGUAAGACUGGGAUAACUCCGGGAAACCGGAGCUAAUACCGGAUAGUAUCUUGAACCGCAUGGUUCAAGUUGGAAAGACGGUUUCGGCUGUCACUUACAGAUGGGCCCGCGGCGCAUUAGCUAGUUGGUGAGGUAAUGGCUCACCAAGGCAACGAUGCGUAGCCGACCUGAGAGGGUGAUCGGCCACACUGGGACUGAGACACGGCCCAGACUCCUACGGGAGGCAGCAGUAGGGAAUCUUCCGCAAUGGACGAAAGUCUGACGGAGCAACGCCGCGUGAGUGAUGAAGGUUUUCGGAUCGUAAAACUCUGUUGUUAGGGAAGAACAAGUGCGAGAGUAACUGCUCGCACCUUGACGGUACCUAACCAGAAAGCCACGGCUAACUACGUGCCAGCAGCCGCGGUAAUACGUAGGUGGCAAGCGUUGUCCGGAAUUAUUGGGCGUAAAGCGCGCGCAGGCGGUUUCUUAAGUCUGAUGUGAAAGCCCCCGGCUCAACCGGGGAGGGUCAUUGGAAACUGGGAAACUUGAGUGCAGAAGAGGAGAGUGGAAUUCCACGUGUAGCGGUGAAAUGCGUAGAGAUGUGGAGGAACACCAGUGGCGAAGGCGACUCUCUGGUCUGUAACUGACGCUGAGGCGCGAAAGCGUGGGGAGCGAACAGGAUUAGAUACCCUGGUAGUCCACGCCGUAAACGAUGAGUGC
rnacentral:rRNA from 2 species